CGAUUACCACGGUAGGAUUCAUGACUGGGGUGAAGUCGUAACAAGGUAGCCGUAUCGGAAGGUGCGGCUGGAUCACCUCCUUUC
rnacentral:rRNA from 2 species